UACUCACGUCAUACUCACUUUGCGCCUCCUGCCCCCCUCCCCACGUCUCUCUCUCAAACCUCCCUUCUCUCUCUCGCCUCUGCCGGAAACGGCUACUGCCGGUCACGCCGGCGCCGACCAGCCGCCCCUCUCUCCUUCUUCCUUUCUCUUUCCUUCUUUCCCCUGUUCUCACUCUCUCUCUCGGUCUCCUUCUCCACCAGCACCACCGCCGGCUGGAAACCGCCGCUGCUGCCGUCGGGCUGCCGCCGCCGCUGCGCCGGCCGCCGCCGCUGCGGAGAAAUCAAGAGGGGUUGAAAAGACAUUGAAAAAGAGUGUCGUCUUUUGCCGGAUUUCGUCACCACCGUCGGGCUGCCGUCGCCGCCGCUGAGCCGCCGGAGGGCAGAAACUCCAGCCCAUCAGGUUGCAUAGAAAAGAGAAGAUUAUGAUUGCAGCUUUGGAAAAAGGCAAAACACCAAUUUUAAGAGAACCGUUUAAUGCAGAACAGUUUCAAAGCAGGUUAUUACAGAUGUAACCAUUACGAUAGGAAGAAAAAAAGGAAAAAAAAAGUGUUACUGAUGCAGCUGAAGCUAUUCAAGCACUGGGCAACCUGUAUAGGAGUCUGAGAACACUUCCCAAAAAUAGGAAAAAAAAGAAGAAAAGAAAAAAAGGAAAAAAAAUGGAAAAAAGGAAAAAAAGAAAAAAAGGAAAAAAGAAGGUAGAGACGAAUACUCAACUAUGCCUGUGGAGCAUGAAGAUGUUGAGCCAAGAGAAAUGACUUUGGAAGACAUUGAGAACAGAUUAGGAUAAAGACGAUUACUCAACUAAAAUGUGCGGUGUGGAAAGAACGGCUUAAAGGUAUCCAAAAAUUUGAGAAUAUACAGGGUUCCGCUUUUAGUAUUAUUAGCGAAUGAUUGAAGUAAUAUGGAGCUUUUAAAGAAUGCUUCAAAUGGUGUGAGAGGAUAGAGGCUGUCGCUGAACUAACAGAACUUGCACCCGCCAAAAAGAUUACUCCUGGAGAUUUUUCAGAAGUUUAUCGUACAAUAAAGAAGGUUAUCACAGAUGUAAACAUUACGAUAGGAAGAAGGAAAAAAAUAGUUUCUGUUGCAGAAAAGGGCAACCUUUUUAGGGGUCUAAGAACACUUCCCAAAAAAAAGAGGAAAAAAUGGAAAAAAAAGGAAAAAAGAAAAAAAAAGUAGAGAUGAUUACUCAACUAUGCCUGUGGAGCUUGAAGAUGUUGAGCCAGGAAAAAUGAGUUUGGAAGAGAUUGAGAGCAAAUUAGGAUCCCUUAUUCAAACGGAGUCGAUUACUCAACUAAAAUGUGUUGUGUGGAUAGAGCAGCUUAAAGGUAUCCAAAAGUUUGAGAGAUUUACAAGGUUCCGCUUUUGCUAUUAUUAGCGAAUGAGUGAAGCAAUAUGGAGCUCUUAAAGAAUGCUUCAAAUGGUGUGAGAGGAUAGAGGCUGUCGCUGAACUAACAGAACUUGCACCCGCCAAAAAGAUUACUCCUGGAGAUUUUUCAGAAGUUUAUCGUACAAUAAAGAAGGUUAUCACAGAUGUAAACAUUACGAUAGGAAGAAGGAAAAAAAUAGUUUCUGUUGCAGAAAAGGGCAACCUUUUUAGGGGUCUAAGAACACUUCCCAAAAAAAAGAGGAAAAAAUGGAAAAAAAAGGAAAAAAGAAAAAAAAAGUAGAGAUGAUUACUCAACUAUGCCUGUGGAGCUUGAAGAUGUUGAGCCAGGAAAAAUGAGUUUGGAAGAGAUUGAGAGCAAAUUAGGAUCCCUUAUUCAAACGGAGUCGAUUACUCAACUAAAAUGUGUUGUGUGGAUAGAGCAGCUUAAAGGUAUCCAAAAGUUUGAGAGAUUUACAAGGUUCCGCUUUUGCUAUUAUUAGCGAAUGAGUGAAGCAAUAUGGAGCUCUUAAAGAAAGGUUCAAAUUGUGCGAGAGGAAAGAAGCUGUCGCUGAACUAACAAAGCUUGCAUCCACCAAAAAGAUUACUGCUGGAGAUUUUUCAGAAGUUUGUCGAACAAUUAAGAAGGUUAUAUCACAGAUGUAAACAUUACGAUAGGAACAAAACAAGGGAAAAAAAGCUAUAUAAUGCUGCAGUAUACAUGUUGUCUUUGGUUUUUUAAUUUUCUUGGUAUCCAAAAAAUUGAGAGAUUUACAAGGUUCCGCUUUUGCUAUUAUUAGCGAAUGAGUGAAGCAAUAUGGAGCUUUUCAAGAAAGGUUCAAAUGGUGUGAGAGGAAAGAAGUUGUCGCUGAACUAACAAAGCUUGCAUCCACCAAAAAGAUUACCCCUGGUGAUUUUUCAGAAGUUUGUCGAACAAUUAAGAAGGUUAUAUCACAGAUGUAAACAUUACGAUAGGAUGAAAAAAAGGAAAAAAAACGUUCCUGUUGCAGUUGAAGCUAUUCAAGCUCUGGGCAACCUGUAUAGGAGUCUGAGAACACUUCCCAAAAAAAGGAAAAAAGGAAAAAAAGAGAAGAAAAGAAAAAAAGGAAAAAAAGGAAAAAAAUGGAAAAAAAGAAAAAUGGAAAAAAAAAGAAAAAAAAGGAAAAAAAGGAGAAAAAAGAAAAAAAGGAGAAGACUAUUACUCGACUAUGCCUGUGGAUCUUGAAGAUGUUGAGGUAUCCAAAAAUUUGAGAGAUUUACAAGGUUCCACUUUUGCUAUUAUUAGCGAAUGAGUGAAGCAAUAUGGAGCUUUUCAAGAAAGUUUCAAAUGGUGUGAGAGGAAAGAGGCUGUCGCUGAACUAACAGAGCGUGCAUCCACCAAAAAGAUUACUCCUUGAGAUUUUUCAGAAGUUUGUCGAACAAUUAAGAAGGUUAUAUCACAGAUGUAAACAUUACGAAAGGAAGAAAAAAAGGAAAAAAAAAGCGUUGCUGUUGCAGCUGAAGCUAUUCAAGCUCUGGGCAACCUGUAUAAGAGUCUGAGAACACUUCCCAAAAAAAGGAAAAAAAAGGAAAAAAGAGAGAAAGAAAAAAAGGAAAAAAAAGGAAAAAAAGAAAAAAGGAAAAAAGGAAAAAAUGGAGAAAAAAGAAAAAAGGAGAAGAAGAUUAUUACUUGACUAUGCCUGUGGAGCUUGAAGAUGUUGAGCCAAGAGAAAUGAGUUUUGAAGAAAUUGAGAGCAGAUUCGGAUCCCUUAUUCAAGUAGAGACAUUACUCAACUAAGAUCUGCUGUGUGGAAAGAGCGGCUUAAAGGUAUCCAAAAAUUUGAGAGAUUUACAAGGUUCCACUUUUGCUAUUAUUAGCGAAUGAGUGAAGCAAUAUGGAGCUUUUCAAGAAAGGUUCAAAUGGUGUGAGAGGAAAGAAGUUGUCGCUGAACUAACAAAGCUUGCAUCCACCAAAAAGAUUACCCCUGGUGAUUUUUCAGAAGUUUGUUGAACAAUUAAGAAGGUUAUAUCACAGAUGUAAACAUUACGAUAGGAUGAAAAAAAGGAAAAAAAACGUUCCUGUUGCAGUUGAAGCUAUUCAAGCUCUGGGCAACCUGUAUAGGAGUCUGAGAACACUUCCCAAAAAAAGGAAAAAAGGAAAAAAAGAGAAGAAAAGAAAAAAAGGAAAAAAAGGAAAAAAAUGGAAAAAAAGAAAAAUGGAAAAAAAAGAAAAAAAAGGAAAAAAGGAGAAAAAAGAAAAAAAGGAGAAGACUAUUACUCGACUAUGCCUGUGGAUCUUGAAGAUGUUGAGGUAUCCAAAAAUUUGAGAGAUUUACAAGGUUCCACUUUUGCUAUUAUUAGUGAAUGAGUGAAGCAAUAUGGAGCCUUUCAAGAAAGUUUCAAAUGGUGUGAGAGGAAAGAGGCUGUCGCUGAACUAACAGAGCGUGCAUCCACCAAAAAGAUUACUCCUUGAGAUUUUUCAGAAGUUUGUCGAACAAUUAAGAAGGUUAUAUCACAGAUGUAAACAUUACGAAAGGAAGAAAAAAAGGAAAAAAAAAGCGUUGCUGUUGCAGCUGAAGCUAUUCAAGCUCUGGGCAACCUGUAUAAGAGUCUGAGAACACUUCCCAAAAAAAGGAAAAAAAAGGAAAAAAGAGAGAAAGAAAAAAAGGAAAAAAAAGGAAAAAAAGAAAAAAGGAAAAAAGGAAAAAAAAGGAAAAAAUGGAGAAAAAAGAAAAAAGGAGAAGAAGAUUAUUACUUGACUAUGCCUGUGGAGCUUGAAGAUGUUGAGCCAAGAGAAAUGAGUUUUGAAGAAAUUGAGAGCAGAUUCGGAUCCCUUAUUCAAGUAGAGACAUUACUCAACUAAGAUCUGCUGUGUGGAAAGAGCGGCUUAAAGGUAUCCAAAAAUUUGAGAGAUUUACAAGGUUCCACUUUUGCUAUUAUUAGCGAAUGAGUGAAGCAAUAUGGAGCUUUUCAAGAAAGUUUCAAAUGGUGUGAGAGAAAGAGGCUGUCGCUGAACUAACAGAGCGUGCAUCCACCAAAAAGAUUACUCCUUGAGAUUUUUCAGAAGUUUGUCGAACAAUUAAGAAGGUUAUAUCACAGAUGUAAACAUUACGAUAGGAAGAAAAAAAAGGAAAAAAAAAGCGUUGCUGUUGCAGCUGAAGCUAUUCAAGCUCUGGGCAACCUGUAUAAGAGUCUGAGAACACUUCCCAAAAAAAGGAAAAAAAAUGAAAAAAGAGAGAAAGAAAAAAGGAAAAAAAUGGGAAAAAAAGAAAAAAAGGAAAAAAAAGGAAAAAAAAGGAAAAAAUGGAGAAAAAAGAAAAAAGGAGAAGACUAUUACUUGACUAUGCGUGUGGAGCUUGAAGAUGUUGAGCCAAGAGAAAUGAGUUUGGAAGAAAUUGAGAGCAGAUUCGGAUCCCUUAUUCAAGUAGAGACAUUACUCAACUAGGAUCUGCUGUGUGGAAAGAUCGGCUUAAAGCUGUUGUGUCUUUUAAAGAGUAGGUUGAAUCACAAACUGAUUUGGAUCCAUCUGUUGAGAGGUCGAUCCAUUUACUUUGUGUUAUUCCCAGCUGGAAUGAGAAAAAUGUUCAGGUGAGAAAAUCUUCAAAUGAUGUAAGAGGAAAGAGGCUGCUGCUGAACUAACAGAACUUGCAUCCACCAAAAAGAUUGCUCUUGGAGAUUUUUUAGAAGUUUAUCGAACAAUAAAGGUUACUAUAAGAAAAAAAGAAAAAAAGGGAAAAAGGGAAAAAAAAAGAAAAAAAGGAAAAAAAGGAAAAAGGGGAAAAAAGGAAAAAAAAGGAAAAAUAAAAGAAAAAAGAAGUAGAGACGAUUACUCAACUAUGCCUGUGGAGGAUGAAGAUGUUGAGCCAAGAGAAAUCAGUUUGGAAGAGAUUGAGAGCAGAUUAGGAAUUCAAGUAGAGACGAUUACUCAACUAACAGAACUUGCAUCCUCCAAAAAGAUUGCUCUUGGAGAUUCUUCAUAAGUUUGUCGAACAAUAAAGAAGGUUAUAACACAGAUGUAAACCGUUGCUGUUGCAGCUGAAGCUAUUCAAGCACUGGGCAACCUUUAUAGGGGUCUGAAACACUUCCCAAGAAAAAAAAAAGCGUUGUUGCAGCUGAACCUGUAUAGAAGUCUGAGAACACUUCCCAAAAAAAGAAAAUAAAAGGAAAAAAAAAGAAAAGAAAAAAGGGGAAAAAGUAAAAAAAUGGAAAAAAGAAAAAAGGAAUAAAAAAGAAAAAAAGGAAAAAAAGAGAAAAAAGUAGAGAUUAUCACUCAACUAUGCCUGUGGAGCUUGAAGAUGUUGAGCCAAGAGAAAUGAGUUUGGAAGAGAUUGAGAGCAGAUUAGGAUCUCUUAUUCAAGUAGAGACGAUUACUCAACUAAAAUGUGCGGUGUGGAAAGAGCGGCUUAAAGGGUACUUGAAUUUCUUCAAGAGCUUCUGGAUCUGUUGAGAUAUGAGGGGCUACACUAUCAGAAGUCUGGACAUAACAUUGAAAAGUUCGAGAAAAAAUGCAUGAACUGAUGAACCAAGUCAUCCAAACAUAUUCUGCUGCAACGACUAUUCCUUACAUUUUACAGGGUUUGCGAUCUAGGAACAACAGAACGAGGACCGAGUCCGCUGACCAUGUUGGAGUCUUAUUAGAUAACUAUGGAGCUGAGAGGAUUAUGGAAUUGGAAUACAUCAUUCGCCGUAAGGAUAAUCAACAUACUCAUGCUUAGUGGAAAGAAGCCUAUUGCUGCAGAGCCAGCUGCCACUAAGAAAGCCAUGUCUGGAAAAUCUGGUACCAACAAAAAGGGUGAUGGAGGAUGACAAACAGCAAAAAUUUCUAAACCUAUGGAGCGUGAAGAUGUCGAGCCAACAGAAAUGAGUUUAUAGAGUUUUAGAGCAGAUUAGGAUCCUUUAUCCAAGCAGAGACAAUUACCCAACUAAAAAGUGUUGUGUGGAAAGAGCGGCUUGAAGAAUGAUGUCAUGAAAUACUUUCGAGAGGGUCUUCAUCGGAGGCUCUUAAGUGCUGACUUCAAAGAUCAAGUUGAUGGCAUUGAGAUGUUGCAGAAGGUUCUUUCAACAUAAAUUCUAGUUUCUGUUCUGUAACUUGAAAUUUUCUUUUAACCUUCGAUUAGUUUUUUUAUGUCAGCAUGCCGUGUGCUUAGCUAUCUGAAUUUAUCCAAUGAUAUUAUGAAAAAGAAAUGAGAGGUAUCAUAUUUGUUGAGUAUUCUCAAGACACUUGUUAUUAGAACAUUUGUUUAUUCAGUUUGUUUGUGGAAUUGCUAAAAUUACAAAUUGUUAUUGAUUUUCCCAUAUCGAGCUCUCUAAUGAUGUUACAACUAGUGCAUAUUUAAACUAUCUCUCUUGACCUUCUGUAAUUUUGAAAAAGUACUUGAAAUUAUUCCCGAGCUUCUGGAUAUGUUGAGAAAUGAGGGUUACACUAUGACAGAAGUAGAGGAAACCAUCUUUCUUCCUGGCUUGGUUGAGAAGGUCUAAUCCAGCUGAACAAAGUGGGGACUUAUCAAGACCCGUUGGCAUCCCAACAUUCAAUCAUUAGACUACCAAUGCCGCAGGCUUAGUCUGCUGUUGGGCUAAAAUCAUAGAAUAUGGUUCUCCUGAACAGGGUAGGGGGUAAAGAUGAGGAAUAUUUUUCAAUGGAAUGCUUUUUCAGAAGAUUAGGCUGAUGAAGGCAUGAAAGCUAACAGAUAUGAGUUUGGAAGAGAUUUGGAGCAGAUUAGGAUCCCUUAUUGAUUCAGAGACGAUUACUCAACUAAAAAGUGUUGUGUGGAAAGAGCGGCUUGAAGGUGAUGAUAUUUGGAUAUAUGUCAGGAAGCUCCGAGGGAGAACUAUGGCGUUUCUGAAAUCCACACAGAUAGACUACCAAUGCCGCAGACUUAGUCUGGUGUUGGGCUCACAGACUGGAAUGAAGCUUUAAAAAUCAUAGAAUAUGGUUCUCCUGAACAGGGUAGGGGGUAAUGAUGAGGAAUAUUUUUCAAUGGAAUGCUUUUCGGAAGAUUAGGCUGAUGAAGGCAUGAAAGCUAACAGAUAUGAGUUUGGAAGAGAUUUGGAGCAGAUUAGGAUCCCUUAUUGAUUCAGAGACGAUUACUCAACUAAAAAGUGUUGUGUGGAAAGAGCAGCUUGAAGGGAGAACUAUGGCGUUUCUGAAAUCCACACAGAUAGACUACCAAUGCCGCAGACUUAGUCUGGUGUUGGGCUCACAGACUGGAAUGAAGCUUUAAAAAUCAUAGAAUAUGGUUCUCCUGAACAGGGUAGGGGGUAAUGAUGAGGAAUAUUUUUCAAUGGAAUGCUUUUCGGAAGAUUAGGCUGAUGAAGGCAUGAAAGCUAACAGAUAUGAGUUUGGAAGAGAUUUGGAGCAGAUUAGGAUCCCUUAUUGAUUCAGAGACGAUUACUCAACUAAAAAGUGUUGUGUGGAAAGAGCAGCUUGAAGGGAGAACUAUGGCGUUUCUGAAAUCCACACAGAUAGACUACCAAUGCCGCAGACUUAGUCUGGUGUUGGGCUCACAGACUGGAAUGAAGCUUUAAAAAUCAUAGAAUAUGGUUCUCCUGAACAGGGUAGGGGGUAAUGAUGAGGAAUAUUUUUCAAUGGAAUGCUUUUCGGAAGAUUAGGCUGUUGAAGGGAUGAAAGGUGUGCUAUGAAUUGCAAAUGCUGAUCCCAAGAGAUGUUUAGGUGCUGCAUCUAGAAAUCUAAAUUUUUUACAUAACUUCUUUGUUGUUACCGACUACUUGGACUACUGAACUUAACGUAAGAAUGGUCUGUUGAGAAGGUCCUGCAACAAGUUAUUUAUAUUGUCACCCAUAUUGCUGCGACAGCAUCAAAGUCUCCUAAA